GUUUGUGCCGUUCACAAUCGUUAGUUGUGAGGAACGAUAUGUGCCUUUGGAUGACUUUCAGUCUUAGUAAACGUAUUGCUCUCACCUAGAACGGAACAUCUUACGUAAAAGAGGGCUAUGGCUUACCUAAAGUGCCAGGACGAAGUUUAUGAAGCAGCAAAUGAAAGUGACACAGUUCCGUUUAGUUGGACCAAAGUGAUUUUAAAGUUGGUAGUGCAAACCAUUUUGAAUAUCCCCUACCAUGUGGUUGAUUUCAUCAAAGCGUACAUUUGGAGUCCGAAAAAGAACAUAAAAGGACACGUGGUGCUCGUGAGUGGAGGAGCAAAUGGGUUAGGCAGAGCGUUGUGUCUUCGGUUUGCUCGGGAGGGGUGCGCGGUAGCUGUGGUGGAUGUUGAUCAGAACGGUGCCACUAGAACAGUGAAUGAGAUUCGUCAGUUGGGGGUAAAGGCUGAGGCUUUUCAAGUGGAUGUCAGUGAUGUACGAUCGGUGAGGAAGUUGAGGAAGGAUGUUGAAAGAUCGCUAGGACCAGUGCAAAUAUUGGUCAACAACGCUGCAUUGCUGUCGUUUGCAUCGAUAAACCAGGGUAGCGAUGAUGAGGUUCAGAAACUAAUCAACGUAAAUUUAUCUUCACAUUUCUGGAUGAUUCGGCAAUUUCUUCCCGGGAUGCAGCAGAGAAAAGAAGGUCAUAUUGUAGCCAUAUCGUCAGUGCUAGGUAUCAUUUUGGAACACAUUCUCCAUGUAAUCGGGCAUCGAAAGGCUAAUGUUUAAUCGUUUAUAAUCGAAUUGUUCCGAACUUCCGUACGAUUGCGUACAGUGCCACCAAAUUUGGAAUCCGCGGGAUGAUGGCCUCUCUUAGUGAUGAACUGUAUUUCAGCGGAUUCGGCGACAAAGUUUUCACUACCUGUGUCUAUCCCGAUCUAAUUGCCACCAGAAAAGAGCUAAUACAAACAGUCAACAAAAUGGGCCUUUCAACGCAAGUGUUAUCACCUGAGCAUGCGGCCAACUUGGUGGUGGAUGGAGUUCUGCGGAACAAAACGGACAUUAUUCUGGCCUCGUUUCCAAUACGGAAAUUCAUAAAGCUUUCCGAGUUCUGCUCAUCGAGGAUGCGACGCAUUUACACUUCAUGUAUUUGUACUCAUCCAAAUGAAUAAUAAUUCAGUGCAAGAGAACGGCUUGCCAUAUAUGGUUAGUUAUAAUACUGACUACGGUUGUUUUAGUUAUCAAUAAAAAUGUCUUAAUUUUGGUUUUAUA